rnacentral:rRNA from 1 species
CCUACGGGGAGCAGCAGUGAGGAAUAUUGGUCAAUGGGCGAGAGCCUGAACCAGCCAAGUCGCGUGAGGGAGUACUGCCCUAUGGGUUGUAAACCUCUUUUGUCGGGGAGCAAAAGCCGGACGUGUCCGGCUGUGAGAGUACCCGAAGAAAAAGCAUCGGCUAACUCCGUGCCAGCAGCCGCGGUAAUACGGAGGAUGCGAGCGUUAUCCGGAUUUAUUGGGUUUAAUGGGUGCGCAGGCGGAUUUUUAAGUCAGCGGUAAAAUCGUGGGGCUCAACCCCAUCCAGCCGUUGAAACUGGGGAUCUAGAGUGUGCGAGAGGUAUGCGUAAUGCGUGGUGUAGCGGUGAAAUGCAUAGAUAUCACGCAGAACCCCGAUUGCGAAGGCAGCAUACCGGUGCACAACUGACGCUCAGGCACGAAAGCGUGGGUAUCGAACAGGAUUAGAUACCCCAGUAGU